AUGGGACCAUGUUCUUCCCCUUUGCUCUUGGAGAAUAGACAAAGCUACUCAGCCCAGUCACAGCCUCAUAAUCUUGUUCUACCUCCCUCUCUAGCCUCAACUAUUUCCAGGCUCCAGCUCAAUGUCAUACAUCAGGGCCCAGGAAGGAAACAAAUAAGCUUCCUCUCCCACCAACAAAAGAAAUAUAAAAGAAGAUUUCCAAAGUUUGGGCAACCACAACACUGGUGACUCACAGGUAUUUGCAUAUACUUUUCUAUUACAUCUUGUUUGUUAACAGAAAAAGUGGCAAAUAAAUUGUGGACAAGUAUUUUUUAACAGCUUUAUUGAAUUAUGAUUAAAAUACAAUAAGCUGUGCACAUUGAAAGUGUGCAAUUUCAUAAGUUUUGCUAUACGUAUGCACCUGUGAAAAACUCCCUUCAAUCAAG
rnacentral:lncRNA from 10 species